CAGUGAGUGAGGGUAAGUACCCCCUCCAGUCUCUCUGUUGUCAGUGAGUGAGGGUAAGUACCCCCUCCAGUCUCUCUCUUGUCAGUGAGUGAGGGUAAGUACCCCCUCCAGUCUCUCUGUUGUCAGUGAGUGAGGGUAAGUACCCCUUCCAGUCUCUCUGUUGUCAGUGAGUGAGGGUCAGUGCCUCCAUUAAAAACAUUUCACCAGACACAAUUCAUGCAACAGUAGCACCCAGAUCUCUGAGGAUCCAGACAUUAUGAAGAGAAAUAGGAGAUUGAUUUUUAACCUGCCAAAUCUGAGCGCAUAAUGUAUUGUCUGUAUAAGAUGCUGUCUGCUACAAAGAAGGAUUUCAGCUACUUCAAUUUGGGAUCAUGGCCAUUUCAUAAGGAAUGCAGUCGCUGUCACUGGCUGUCAGCAAGGGUGGUCUCUUAUUAUUCUGAGAAUAGAGUUUGUGCCAGUAAUUUCAUAGCUCUCAAUAUGUCCAUCUCUUAUAGCUACCUCCUUGGAUUAACAUACAUACAUAAGGUAGAGCUUCUUGCAUAAGCGUUCAGUAAAUAUCUGAACAAGCACUUACCAUCUGAGUCAUAUGUGGUUUAUGACUCCUGACUUGUGAGUGACACCAUAUACGUCUUUCUAUAGAUUACUUCUGUUACAAUAUUGCGCUAUUUGUGCU